GCAGUAUCUGGCUGGGGGGCAGGAGGCACUCAGGUGGCACCAGGAGGCACUGUAGUGAGCAGCAACCAUUGAGCCUGCUUAUGAAAAGGAAAAGGACAUGCUACACAUGGCUAUAAUACGUUCCAGGAACCUCAUUUCAAGAACUCUGAUUUGGUUGGUCUUAAUAUGCUUGAUGUUUAAUUUUUGGAGUUUUGGCCAGUUAACAAAUUCAUUUUGUGUGAGGAAAACAACUUGGUGAAGCUGUGUGCAAAUCCUGCCUGUUUGAAAACACUUCUGAGUGUCAGCCCAUAGCCAGCACUACUGGGGGGAGCUCCCCAAAGCCAAAACAACCUCCAUGAGUUCCUCAGGAAGCCAUCCCUGGAUGACAGCCACAUCAGGCUGAGACCACUGCCUUGGGUGUGCAGGACUGCUUGUCCUUUUACUCCCCUGUUAGUCAAUACUUGCCUGUUGUCUGUGGUGCUAUAUUUAAAUGGUGAACUGCUUGGAGCACACCCUGUCCUUUCAUUUUGUGAUUGCACUGUGCCUCAUAUAAUGGGGUAUUGCUUCAUGACUUGUGCUGUUAGGAAUGGAUGCAAAGCAAAUAAAUAAUAUUAAUGCUAAUAAGAACCUUUCCUUACUUCCUGCUUUUGUCUUUCUUUCAUUUGUUUAUUUUAUCUUCGCUGUUAUAUUUGUGCUUAUGUCACU